UGUGUGAAGUAAGAAACUCUAUAUGCAUAGUAACCAUAAAAAAAAGGAACAAAAUCCCCCCAUUCUUCCUCGAAAUUCAGUUUCUAGGCUUCAUUGUUAGUAAAAUAAAAAAUCAUAAUAGUGUCAAUUCGUCCAUCCUGCCUUCCUGGACUCUACUCCAUUUCCCAUGAUUAUUGGUCGAGCUCUAUAAAACAAAGAGAUAUAUGAAACAAAAGGCAGGAAUAAAGUGUCUUGUGCGACAAACUUUUGAGUUCAAAUCACUAUCAUCUUCAUCGAAAAUAUAACAAACAUAACAAGAAGUCGACUCUCAGCUUUUGAGGAUCCCACAAGUACGAUAAAUAACCAAUAAUUAAGGAAAAAACGAGUUAAAACACUAAAAACCUGCACUUCGAGAUAUUCCAAAUAUGGGAAACUUCGUAUCAAGCAAAGAGCAUAUGAAAGCUUAUAUGAUUCCACCAACAAAAUAUCCGACAGAUAAAUUUGUUUGCCAUUGUUAGGAUUAAAGGGAAACCUUGUUGGUUCAUCAUAUUCUUCUUCAGAGUGAAGAAGGAUAUGAAGCACCAACAAAGCUUCUCUUUCAUCCUGAUAGUGUCAAACGAUUUUACCUACCUAACCUUUUGUUGGUGGAAUCUGAUAAGUGUUCAUGUGUUCUUUGCUUGAUAAGAAGCUUCCAUAGUUGAAAUAUUUCGAUAUGUAGGUUUGUAGUGCUUAUAGUCUUUUUUUCCUUAUAGGGGUCAUUUGUCAUACUUUUUUGGUUUCUCAAUAAUUUGAGAAUUGACUUUUUGUUAUCUUUCUUAAGUUUUCAAUGAAAAUGGUAUAUAGUGAUACUGAAGAAUUUCUUGAACUCGAAAGUUUUCGGACAUGACAUUUGAUCACCACGAGGAAGUCAAGCAGGAAAAUUUUAUAGAAAGAAUGUCCGGUGUUAAAGAGAAUGCUAAUAGAUCGACAAUUUCUUAAUUGACUAUUCUAAAGCUAAAUAUAUGUGUGGAAUAAUAGA